rnacentral:rRNA from 1 species
AUUGAACGCUAGCGGGAUGCCUUACACAUGCAAGUCGAACGGAGUGGCGGACGGGUGAGUAAUGUAUAGGAACGUGCCCAGUAGCGGGGGAUAACUACCCGAAAGCGUAGCUAAUACCGCAUACUCUUGGAGCCGCCUAUAUCGGAUUAGCUAGUUGGUGGGGUAACGGCCCACCAAGGCGACGAUCCGUAGCUGGUUUGAGAGGACGACCAGCCACACUGGGACUGAGACACGGUCCAGACGCCUACGGGAGGAAGCAGGGGGGAAUAUUGGACAAUGGGGGAAAGCCGGAUCCAGCCAUGCCGCGUGUGCGAUGAAGGCCUUCGGGUUGUAAAGCACUUUUGGCAGGAAAGCGGUACCUGCAGAAUAAGCACCGGCUAACUACGUGCCAGCAGCCGCGGUAAUAC